rnacentral:rRNA from 1 species
GAUGAACGCUGGCGGCGUGCCUAAUACAUGCAAGUCGAGCGAACAGACGAGGAGCUUGCUCCUCUGACGUUAGCGGGGGACGGGUGGGUAACACGUGGAUCACCUACCUAUAAGUCUGGGAUAACUACGGGAAACAGGAGCUACUAACAGCUAAUAUAUUGAACCGCAUGGUUCAAUAGAGAAAGACGGUUUUGCUGUCACUAAUAGAUGGAUUCGCGCCGGAUUAGCUAGUUGGUAAGGUAACGGCCUACCAAGGCAACGAUGCGUAGCCGACCUGAGAGGGUGAUCGGCCACACUGGAACUGAGACACGGUCCAGACUCCUACGGGAGGCAGCAGUAGGGAAUCUUCCGCAAUGGGCGAAAGCCUGACGGAGCAACGCCGCGUGAGUGAAGAAGGUCUUCGGAUCGUAAAACUCUGUUAUUAGGGAAGAACAAAUGUGUAAGUAUCUAUGCACGUCUUGACGGUACCUAAUGAGAAAGCCACGGCUAACUACGUG